GUUCCGUUAGCUCAGUGGUAGAGCGGCAGAUUGCAGUUAUGAGUUGAUCCCUGAUUAAUUCAUCAUAUUCAGCUAUCUGAUGGUCGAUCGUUCGAUCCGGUCACGGAACU